rnacentral:lncRNA from 1 species
AGGGUGUGUGAGAUUGUGUGAGCAUGUGGCACCUAGAGAGUUGGAAUGAGAGAACUCGGUAACUGAAUAAGCACUUUUGGCACCCUACAGUGCCAGGGAUCAUCAAGAGACAUUGAUUGGAAUGAGACCUAUUGCACCUAGAUUUGAUUGCUCUUGUUACCUUACCAACAAAUGAGCUGAUAGAUGGCAUCCUGCAGUGCCAGUUAUCGUCAAGAGCAGGUUGUAUAUAAUUGAUUAUUAAAUACUUUCAUUAUUCAUUUAAUUAGUCAUUCAUUAAUAUUGCAUCACAGCUUCAGGAUGUGGAAUGGUGCCACAGUGCAGUGCUGAUGGACUGCCACUCCAGAUAACGCUAUGAUCAGAACACGCGCCAGCACCAGGCCGCCGAACAAGCCCAAUACCAAAUUCGUUGUGGGUCCGGACCAUAGAAUUUCUAUAAGUGUUCGGAGCAUUCUGUAGGGCAUCAGCAGAUGAGCCUGUGUACGAGUAGAACAAGAUGUGGGAGUAGUAGCGAGCGGGGG